UGCCAGGUGGCAGAGGAGGCAGGGCCACUGUAGUGCCAACUCUGGGGGUCCGGUGAGAAUCUCACAGUGCAGGUGCAGUGUGUGUGGGCAGGGACCUUGGAGUCCUAUAGACUGCUCUUGGAAUUCAGUUAAAACCUAGGAGCUUUGGGGAAGCUGAAACGUCCUGCCUAUUUCUGAAACCCCAAUGCUACUUCUUGGGGUUGCCCAGAAGGCGGGCCUCAUCCUGUGUCUCUGUUCUGUUUACCCCACAAGCGUUCCUGUCAUUUGGUAAGAACUGCUGCCUGGCAGAGAAGCCUUGGGAAGCUCUGCUCUGUCUUCUAAGAAACAGGAAGUCAUUAUUUGCCCAAAGCAAACAAAUUCACAAACUGCAGGGUUCACUUUCAGUCCAAAGCUGCAGUCCCAGGAGGUGUGGGUUGAGGACAUGGGGACCCAAGCAAAGAAUUCUUUCCCCUCCCCCGCUCCCCUGGCCAAAUAAACAGCUGCCAUAAUUUCACAGCCAUGACUUGCAGGAAGCCUGAGGCAUCGGUGCUCCUGGUUUUCCAGCCUUCAGACUUGGACUUGGAUUUACCCAGUUCUUUGGCCUUGGGGUGGAAUUAUAGUACCAGCUUUUCUGAGCCCCCAGCUUGCAGACAUCAGAUCACAGGACUUCUUAGCCUUCAUAAUUAAAGGUCAAGCAAGGAUGGUUGAGAAAAUCAUGGAGACAUAAAAAAGGGGAAGAACCUGCAUGUAAGAGAGAAGAUACUGUGUGACUUUGUAAAUAGAUAUUGGAAAUUAGAGGUAGGUGGUUCUCUUAGAAUUUUAGUCCAUGUGGAGGAACUUUUUGAUUGAGACUAUGAUUAUAUACCAUACCACUGAGAUUUAUUUUAAUUAAAGGAAAGAAAAGUUUCUCAGCCAAGCAAACAAAACAAAAAGACAAAACAGUGAAUAUGUGUGUGUGUGUGCUCAUAUAUAUGUGUAUGUAUGUAUAUAUAUCUCAAAAAUUGUUUCACUUUCAUAGUAAACUCACCUGGAAAAUCUACCUUGAUGCAUGCAUCUUUGACAAUUGGCUCAGGCUUUAGAUUUUUUUUAAAUGAAAGUUCAGCUCAAUCCCACAAUUCAUUUACUCAAUUUACUUCCUAGAAUUUUUAAGCAAGAGUUCAACCUCACAAACACAGCUAUACUUGGCAAACAAACGUAAAGAGAUUAAAAGGACCUGUUUAAUCACUUUUCAGAGCAUUUAUCAGCACCAUGCUCUAACCAACUGAGCCAAUCGGCUUCAGAGCAUUUAUAAAUUAAACUUGCUUCUGAAUAGUUAGGGUUAAAUUGGUUCAAAAAGCACUCUCUUAAAUUUGACUUUUUCUUCUUGAGGUACUAAGCCUUUUGAAAAUGCAAAACUCCUAGGAGAUGUAGCAUUUUUGGUAGACUGCCACCAACCCCUGAAUUUCUUUAUCUACUUGGAAUCUAUACUGUUAAGUGCAUGUAUAUAGAUUCAGAACCAUCUAUAUUCCUGGUAAUUUUUAAAAUAAUGACCCUCUUUAUCCAUAAAAGUGUUUGCCCUUAAAGAUUAAUUUGUUU